rnacentral:rRNA from 1 species
AUUGAACGCUAGCGGGAUGCUUUACACAUGCAAGUCGAACGGCAGCGCGGACUUCGGUCUGGCGGCGAGUGGCGAACGGGUGAGUAAUGUAUCGGAACGUGCCCAGUAGCGGGGGAUAACUACGCGAAAGCGUAGCUAAUACCGCAUGCGCCCUACGGGGGAAAGCAGGGGAUCGUAAGACCUUGCACUAUUGGAGCGGCCGAUAUCGGAUUAGCUAGUUGGUGAGGUAACGGCUCACCAAGGCGACGAUCCGUAGCUGGUUUGAGAGGACGACCAGCCACACUGGGACUGAGACACGGCCCAGACUCCUACGGGAGGCAGCAGUGGGGAAUUUUGGACAAUGGGGGCAACCCUGAUCCAGCCAUCCCGCGUGUGCGAUGAAGGCCUUCGGGUUGUAAAGCACUUUUGGCAGGAAAGAAACGUCGCGGGCUAAUACCCCGUGGAACUGACGGUACCUGCAGAAUAAGCACCGGCUAACUACGUG